AUUGAACGCUGGCGGCAGGCCUAACACAUGCAAGUCGAACGAGUGGCGGACGGGUGAGUAAUGUCUGGGAAACUGCCUGAUGGAGGGGGAUAAAUACUGGAAACGGUAGCUAAUACCGCAUACCAUCGGAUGUGCCCAGAUGGGAUUAGCUAGUCGGUGGGGGAACGGCGCACCUAGGCGACGCACCCUCGCUUGUCUGAGAGGAUGACCAGCCACACUGGAACUGAGAUACGGUCCGGACUCCUACGUGAGGGAGCAGUGGGGAAUAUUGCACAAUGGGCUCAAGCCUGAUGCAGCCAUGGCGCGUGUAUGAAGAAGGCCUUCGGGUUGUAAAGUACUUUCAGCGGGGAGGCGUUACCCGCAGAAGAAGCACCGGCUAACUCCGUGCCAGCCGCCGCGGUAAUUC
rnacentral:rRNA from 1 species